CGCUGCCAGUUGCCAACGGGUGAAGCCGGGCGACUCUGGCGGGACUGCCAUCGACAAGAUGGAGGAAGGUAGGGGGAUGACGUCAAGUCAUCAUGGCCCUUAUGUCCAGGGCGACACACGUGCUACAAUGGCCGGCACAGCGGGAAGCGAGGCAGUGAUGCCAAGCGGAUCCCUUAAAGCCGGUCUCAGUUCGGAUUGAAGUCUGCAACUCGACUUCAUGAAGCUGGAAUCGCUAGUAAUCGCAGAUCAGCCAAGCUGCGGUGAAUACGUUCCCGGGCCUU
rnacentral:rRNA from 1 species